AUUGAACGCUGGCGGCAGGCCUAACACAUGCAAGUCGAGCGGAUGAAGGGAGCUUGCUCCUGGAUUCAGCGGCGGACGGGUGAGUAAUGCCUAGGAAUCUGCCUGGUAGUGGGGGAUAACGUCCGGAAACGGGCGCUAAUACCGCAUACGUCCCGAGGGAGAAAGUGGGGGAUCUUCGGACCUCACGCUAUCAGAUGAGCCUAGGUCGGAUUAGCUAGUUGGUGGGGUAAAGGCCUACCAAGGCGACGAUCCGUAACUGGUCUGAGAGGAUGAUCAGUCACACUGGAACUGAGACACGGUCCAGACUCCUACGGGAGGCAGCAGUGGGGAAUAUUGGACAAUGGGCGAAAGCCUGAUCCAGCCAUGCCGCGUGUGCGAAGAAGGUCUUCGGAUUGUAAAGCACUUUAAGUUGGGAGGAAGGGCAGUAAGUUAAUACCUUGCUGUUUUGACGUUACCAACAGAAUAAGCACCGGCUAACUUCGUG
rnacentral:rRNA from 1 species